rnacentral:tRNA from 1 species
GGGGUUGUGGCUCAGUGGCAGAGUGCUUGCCUGGCAUGUGUGAGGCACUGGGUUUGAUUCUCAGCACCCCA